rnacentral:lncRNA from 1 species
GUCCAAGGCCUAUUUAAUAGGUAAUUAUAUAUUCCUCUCAUGUGAUUUACAGCAUUUUAAUAAGGUGCAAACACAAGUGACCAAAGAAAAAAAAAAAAGUAAGAUAAAAAAUCUAGGCAUAUAGACCUUGGUGUGCUUUUCAUGAGGGUUACUAAUUCACCUAGAACUUGUCAAAUUCCAUAUAUGUUCAUGUACCAAAAUAUUCAUCCUCCCAAUUAGAAGGACAAUGGUAGUUCUUGAGGAUCUAAGAUGCAUGUGUAUGCUAUGCUAUGUUUUGUCCCUAAAAAUCAGUCCAACAGUACGCAACCUUGGAGGAUAGUAUCUUAAAGCCCUCACUUGUCACUAAUCCAAGGUCUUUUAGUCUAUGGUCUAAAAUCAUAUUUGAGGAAAGGCUUUUGGUGAGAAAUUGGUAGUGAGAAGAUUGUCAUAAGAUUCAGCAUUUCUUAUUCGAAAAUGUAUGUUAUCAUUUCAGUGAAAGUUAACUUGGAAUCACAACAAUGUUUAAUGUUUUCUACGUGACUUCGGGUAUCAAUAGGACCCUGAUUUCCUGGAAUGCUGCCUAUGUGCCUUGUCUCAAAAUGUCCUAGCUCUUCCAGUAAUCUUCAUCUCUAGGAUGGGGACUCACCAUCUGGUCCUUUUUAGCAUAAGCAUCACCAGGGUAGAUGGCUGAUAUGCCAGCCAUCUCUCAGUGUCUCCAUGAAAGAUGUUCUUCUCUGGAAAUAUAAGCUGCCAAUACACAUAAAUUGCAAGAAUAAGUGCAUAGGUCUCACUUAUUUUCUUAUAACUUCCACAAGGAAUAACAAAGGAAAACCAAACAACUGUAGGAUAACACCAGAUCAAGUGAUCAUACAAACCACUGGCCUUGUUCUCUGCACAUGAAUCCACAAAUUUAAUGGCUCAUUACUGCCUAAAGACUUCAUGCGAUAGUCCACUACUCAAUGCCUCAAGCAUAUGACAAGAUCUUCAUGCUAGCUGAACUGCUUAAGAUAUGGAGCAGCAGACUUAUCUCAUGAACCUUUUAGACAGUGGUACCCUGAUAAGAGCAUAUGCUUAGAAGCCUCCCAGCUUCUUUGUAAAUCUUAGCAUCUGUAUUCAUGCUGAAUUUUUGGCUAACAGGGAUAUUUAAGUAGUAGUUUGCGUUUGUUGAGUCUUAUAAAUUCUUGUGAAAUCGUAUUUAUGCGGAGUUUCCUGUACAAGCUUAUUCAGUAUUCUUUUUCUCUUUGAACCUAUUUGGUAGGCUGUAUUUGGAAUGUAAUCAUGGUUUGAAGUAUCGGCCCAAAAGAUUGUGUCCAACACGCAAGUCAGUGACUCACAUCUAAGUCAGGACUGGAUUGUUACUCAUCUGGACAGAUAUUGGGAACCAUGAGUAUAAUUCAAAUACAAAGCCUGUCAAAAUGUUUCAAAGAGAAAGGAAUUCUUGACAGGGCUUCAUAGGACACUCAUCAAAGGCAAUAAGAUUUUGCAAGAAUUUACACGACUCCUCAAGGCAAAGCUAGCCCUCUUUUCUAAAAAUAUUCAUGUUAGCCAAAUGCCUAGCCGGUACCUUUUAAGUUCGGUAGGCCAAAUAGUCAGUUAGGCAACAAGUUUGGUAGACCAAAAGGUUAGGCCAGCCACUCCUCCAUGUUAGCCAACAAGUUUGUUAGACCAAUAAGUUAGGUCACCCAUGGCCACCCACAUUGCAGAGAUAAUGUUUUAUCGGAAUUUGGGAAAGAAUUUUGAGUCAAAUUAGCCGUUUAAUCCAACAUAACAGAGGUAUUAGUAUUUUGAAGAAUAAUUUAUCCAGAAUAAAUUAACCUCUGUUCAAAUAAAUUAAAGGGCUUAUCCAGAAUAAUUUCUAAUUUGCUAUUAACAAUGGAAGAAAAAACUAACUAACAUCUAUGUAUUAAAAAUUAAGGAUUAAUUUAUUUUUUUUUUAAAACUAAAUAAUUCUGGAAAAGUUUAAGUCUAUGUUAAAGAAUUUCAUCUAAAUAUUCUUAAGCUAACUUUUGAAUGUUACCGAAAAAUGCAUCCUCAUCUCCAACAUACCAUUGGUUAACCCUUUGAGAAGAAGAAACCCUAAGCCUAGCCUUGAAAGCAAACAGCUUUACCACCAGCCUCAAAAUUUUCACACCUGCAAACAAUAUUUGAAUUUAAGAAACGUGAGUUUAGAAAUAAAAUAGUUCCCACACGCUUCUAGACAAGUUGCAAGUGACCCAUAUUAUAAAUCCAAUCCAACAAGAACAUGCAAAGGAGGAGACUGGUUUAACAUAAAGAUCCCAACAAAAAUCAUUAUGGCACUACGGUUUACUUUCUCUGUCGUCCCCUAUGUGUUUCACUUUUGAGUUUUCAGGUACCCUGGUUGGUAUGGUCAUGUUAGUUUAGAGUUCCAUCUGCUAUAGCAGUAAGGAGAUUGAGGAGGACCAUAGCUGAGCACAAAACCUUCUUCCGUAAGUCUUAAGUUUAAUUUUGAUGGUUGCUCUUAAGAAACCCAGGAUAAGUGGGCAUGGGUGGAGUUUUCUGAGAUCAUAGAGGAGAGGUGGAUAGGGCUUUCUCAAAUGUAUUGGGGUGUGGUUGGCUAAUGAAGCAGAGUUGCUAAAUUUCUUAGAAAUCUGACAUUUGCUUCUCUGGGUUCUAAAAUUUAGUGCAAGGUGAUUCAACCAUGGUUAUCUCUUGGGUUUCUCAGAAAAAGCAAGAUCCUUAGGAAUGCUACACCUAGUAGCACAAAUUUUCAAUUUAUCUUCAAAGUAGUGCUAUCCAUUUAGAUGGAUCCCUUGCCUAGACAACUAAACUGUAAACAGGCUAACUAAUCAAGGUGCUUCCUUGUGAGAUGCCUUUGUUGGAGAGUCUCCCUAAACUUUGUACUUUGAUUUGGUGUUGAACUUUAAUUAUUUUUAACAUUUUUGUUUCACCCUUGAGGUUUGCAGUUCAACUGUAUUUUGUUGAUUCAAUUAAAUUAGAUACUCAUACAUUUUCUUUCUUGGAGGAGAACUCAUCCUUUCAUGUUCUCUUUCGAUCAUUAAUCAACAAAUUCUUUUGCUUGUAAUUGAGAAGACAACAAGUGUUAUGAGUUGUCAUUGCUCUUCAAAUGUAGGUAUUUUUUAGUAGGCA